rnacentral:tRNA from 1 species
UGCGGAAUAGAGCAGAGGUAGCUUAACUGGCUCAUAACCAGGAGGUCGGGCGGUUCGAAUCCCCCUUCCGCAACCA